AUAUUAAGAAAUCUCCGAGCAUUUUAACCUAUGAAUUUCUAUUUAUGGUUGACUUGCCGAUAGGGUUUGAUUGGAAACGGUCAAGCCUCCCGAUGGAAAGGAGAAGUUUAUUAAUAAC
rnacentral:ncRNA from 2 species